UACGUAGGGGGCAAGCGUUAUCCGGAUUUACUGGGUGUAAAGGGAGCGUAGACGGUGAAGCAAGUCUGAAGUGAAAGGCGGGGGCUCAACCCCCGGACUGCUUUGGAAACUGUUUGACUGGAGUGCAGGAGAGGUGAGCGGAAUUCCUAGUGUAGCGGUGAAAUGCGUAGAUAUUAGGAGGAACACCAGUGGCGAAGGCGGCUUUCUGGACUGAAACUGACGCUGAGGCACGAAAGCGUGGGGAGCGAACAGG
rnacentral:rRNA from 1 species